CUCUCGCUUUCUCUAUCUCUCUCUCCCGCUGCUUCCUUGGUUUAGUGUUGCCUGUGUUGUGCCCGAAAGCAGUGUUGUAUAUUUUAUUGCGCUGUGCCCGUAAUCAUUGAGUGACCGCCCUGUGCGUGUGUUGACGCGUCAGGAAGGGAGUGUUGCGUCUCCAGGCACCUCCCACCUCACGCCUUGCUUCCUCCCGUCUCCCAGAGUCUACACACCUGCACUCUUGAGGAGGGUCUUCCCCUUCCGAGUGGCGUCCGCGCUUGCUUCCUUCGUCUGGUAGGUUUGCUCUUCUUCAGGGACGCUCGUCUACACCUUCCUUCUUCAGGAGCGUCUGUCUUGUGCUCAUCAAACCACUGGUGACACAGCAGCAGCAGCAGCAGCAGCAGCAGGAAAAGAAGGAGGAGCAGGGGAGGAGCAGGGGGAACAGGAGGAGGAGGAGGAGGAGGAGGAGGAGGAGGAGGAGGAGGAGCAGGAGGAGGAGAGGAGCAGGAGAAACAGAAGAAGGAGGAGGAAGAGGAGGUGGAGGAGGAUUAAGAACGGAAGGAAUAAGAGGAAAUAAAAAAAAAUGGAGGAAAUGUGAGAGAGAGAGAGACAGAGAGAAAGAGAGAGAGAGAGAGAGAGAGAGAGAGAGAGAGAGAGAGAGAGAGAGAGAGAGAGAGAGAGAGAGAGAGAGAGAGAGAGAGAGAGAGAGAGAGAGAUAAUGUUAUCGGUAUUUUUUUAUUUUCUGUCUUUCUUCUUUCUCCUCCUCAUUUCCUUCUUUUUCCAACUAUUUCUCUUCCAACUCAUACUCCUUCCUCCUCCUCCUCCUCCUCCUGCUCCUCCUUCUCUUCCUCUUCUCUCUCUCUCUCUCUCUCUCUCUCUCUCUCUCUCUCUCUCUCUCUCUCUCUCUCUCUCUCUCUCUCUCUCUCUCUCUCCUCUUCUUCCUUUCCAUCUUUUUCCUACUGUUUUUCCCUCUCCUCCUCCUCCUCCUGCUCUUUGUUUGCCUCUCUUGAUGGCCAUCUGUCUCCUCCUCUUGAUCUUCCUUUUCCUUUUCCUCGUCCUACGUCCUACUUCUCCUCUUCCUCCUUUUCUUUCUCCACGUCCUACUCUUCCUUUGCUUCAUCUUCUUCCUCUUACUCCUCCUCCUCUUCCUCCUUUUCCUUCUCCUCGUCCUACUCCUCCUCCUCCUCCUACUCCUCUUUCUCCUCUUUCUCCUACUUCUCCUUUUCGUUAUUCUUCUCGUCUUCUCCUCCUCCUCUCUCACUUCUUUCUGCUUCCCCACUCUCUUUCUUUCUCAUUUGUGUGUGUGUGUGUGUGUGUGAGAGAGAGAGAGAGAGAGAGAGAGAGAGAGAGAGAGAGAGAGAGAGAGAGAGAGAGAGAGAGAGAGAGAGAGAGAGAUAAGUAUGGGCUAAUAUUUACUGUGCAAUAGGUGUCUUCAACAUGAGAGAGAGAAAUGAGAGCAGGUACGGCUGGCAGCGAGGGGGCGCGCGGCGCUUGCCUGGGAACAAAAUGGCGUCCCAUCUCCCACUUGUCGCUACUCACAAUAUUGGUGCACGAUAAGGAAAGCAGUUGGCCAAAAUAAUAAUGUCAGAAGUAAGACAAAGCUUUGAAGAAAGAACAUCUGUCAUAAAGUGUUACUGGAGGCACGAAAAUGUCAAAGAAGUGCAAAGACAAUUCAGAAGACACUUUGACAGGGAUCCACCCAGGUGACGCACCAUUGCUCGCAUCACAGCUAAAUUUGCAUCAACCAGCAGCAGCAGCAGCAGCAGCAUGUCAGUAGUAGCAGGAGUAGUGAAUGGUCACUCGUAUGUGGUGACUACUUGGACUAUCAGGCCGCCCUUGUAGUGUGCUGGACUAUUGGUCAACAAGGAGCCCUGAAAGUUACGUGGUACAACUAUUUCGGCGAUAGUAAUGGCUCUCCGUGAAAACACGAUAACGGCCAAUACCUGCCGGGGAAUCAUCCCCUUGUUGCGCCGCCGCCCGUGACGUCACCACGAAAAGAUACACAGUGCGACAGACAACACUCGUCUAACCUGGAAUGAGGCGGAGGGUGCGGCGAGGUGGUCAGCUGUGGCUGUGGCCGCCUUCAGCCCACCCGCCUGACUGCUCCUCUUUGUCACCGAGUCAUGGGAAAGUCGAGGUGUUAUAUAUAUAGUAAACGCCUCGCACCUGCGCCUCCUAAGUGCUUAAUCCUUUCACUGUCAGAUCAUUUUUCUUUUUAUCAUCUGCUACUUUAUAGGCGCUCAUUUGUGUACAGUGACUCAUCCCCAACAGUUCUUUAUUUACUUUAUUCUUUUUAGUAAUAGCUGCUGAUUGCUUGGAGCUCGGAAACUGUUAGUAGAAGUGAAUAGAUUGACAGUGAACACGUAACACACAGUGUGUCAGUCUGUGUGUAAAGACGGCUCCCUAAUUAAUGAAGCAGAUUCCCUGCCUGUAUUUCUAACAAAAGUGCCAAAAGAAAUGUUUCACGAUACACUGUAUCGUGAAACAUUUCUGCCCGCAUCCCGACUACUUUUAAUAGGCUGUAAAUGAAAUUACACGAGUUUUAAGAGUGUUUCUAUGGUUCUAGUUACAGUGGUAAGGUCUCUACAGCAUCAACAGGAGAACCAGUCUUGAAAACCCGGGUAAUUAUUUCUGUGGCCUUUGGAAAUAGUCUGGUGAGAGAGCAAAGCCUUUCAGAAUACAGGCACAUAACCUUGCUUCAUGAAAAAAAUAAGUGCAUUCAUGAUACCUAAGACUGCCUUGCUACAUUCCCCCAGUGACUGUAAUGUAUCUUUUUUUUUUUCUUAUCUUGUAGCAUUAGUCUGUCUGUCAUUGAUGAAAACACCCGCACUACAUGUAUUACGUUAUUUCAUUAGUCUCAAGUCGCUAUUUCAAGUCUAUAUAAGCCUCAAUAAAUACGAGAGCUGUGGUGGUGGUCUGCUUCCCAUCUGCCAAUCAGAGCGUUCUAUUUUUCCGUUUUCUUUCGUAUUCUUCGUAAAGCUCACGUAUCCUUCAUUUGUCAUAACUUCUUGCCUCACAGUGUAUUGGUAAGUGUCUUCUACUGGUAAUAAUAACCGUGAUUCUAUUAUUUUGUAUCAUUACAAGUAGUAUUGCGAAAGUGGCUCCGUUCUUAGUGACAAUUACCUCAGCACAGCCUUCACCAAUCAGCGCCAAGUAUUCAAGUCACGUGAUACUCUCUCCUCGCCGUCUCCUCAGCCAUUCGCCCUGCGCCCGCUGACGUGACGAGUCCCCGGUUGUGUUACGGCGGUGAAGCAGUGUUGCGUCUGUCCCUGGUGGCCAUGCUGUGGUGGACAGCGGUGUGGAGGGAGAGGUGGAUGCCUUCUCUCCCCUUCCCUUCCUCCCCGCUCCCUUCCUAGCCUGCCCGCCACCCUCUCCCCGCUUUUCCCUGCCUGUCCUCCCCUGCUCCUCGUGUCCCAGGUGACCCAUGAACUACCUCUAACAAUGGUGAUGAAGAACCAGAAGUGGGUUGGUAGGUGACGAGAUAACUAUCCCAAGUCAUCCCGGAAGUGGCGAGGUGACCCCAUACAGCUCCACAAGGUCGUGGAGGACACCAGACAUAGCCACGUGGUCGCCUACACUCAGCCAUCCACCUCACCUGCCCCAGACUGCUACCCGGACACCAUCCAGCCACAAGAACCCAGAUAAGCACUUCUGGGGUCCUUGGUUGUGGUUAGCUAGCUAGUUUGUUUAGGGAUCACUUGCUGUAGAUAGGAACCCUCCUCGGUCUGAUGCUAUUUUUUUUAUUUUUUAUUUUUGAGGUGUAACGCUGUCCUCUACGUGAGAGUGAUAGUAUUUAUCUUUAUUUACUUAUUUUAUUUUUUUUUCCUGAAGACCAGUUCUGAGGUUAUCUUGGAGGUUAACGGAGAAGAGCUCUUCACACCUGUGUUUGUUGUUUUAUUUUAUUUUUUUUAUUGGUCACUUUUUGUUUUUUGUUGUGAUUAUUAUUAAUUUUAUUUACUUGUAUUGAAAUAUGUGAGUGUGAAUGCAGCACAAUAUAUAAAGGUGUGCAUUCCAGAGUGAAAGGAAGGCGUGCCUAUUUAAUCACCAGAUUUUGAUUGAUUGAAGCAAAUGAAAACUUUGGUGUGAGUACCUUACAAAGACACUUGGCAAUACUAAUGUCACCUCACCUCGUGGUUUCACCUUAAACCUACAAACAUUGGCUGGACACAAGGUCAUAGAAAUAUUUUAUUCUCAUUUAUUCUCAUCUUUACAAAUUACAGUCUUUACACAUCAAAGUAACUAAUCACCUUUAUUCAUCCACUUGAGGGGGUUGAAGGAUCGCUAAUCCCAUUUUAAAUUGCCUGUGUUCAACUCGCCUCUCCUCCCUCAUUUAUUGACCAAUUCAUUUAAAAAAUAUUUUGAUCAGGAAGGUUGCAAGAAGAAUGUCUGCUAUCUUUUUUUUUUUGUACGAUAAGUUUUUUUUUUCAAUGAAAAAGAAAAAGAAAACUCUGUCAAAUAUUUACUUUCAAAUAUUUGUCAGAAAUCAAAAUCAGUUACAAACAAAAAUGACGACAGCAGACUUUGUUCGCCUCUCACAGCUUGAUAAGCCGCAAUGGCCCAUCUGUGUGUAACACCAAUAACAACGGAGAUCAUUUUUAUAUGCCAAAAUCCGCCAUUUUAAGUUAUGUCAAAGUUUAAGGGGUUACUAUAAUACACCUAUUGCAGCUAAGGACUUGAAAUUCACAUGAUAUAUACAUCACAAUAUGUUGAAAAACAGAUAUAGAUUAAUUUAGUUACUACGAUUGGUUUUGUACAUAGGCCUAAAGUAAUUCAUGAUUUCACCCUUAAUUACCCGGGGGGGGAGGGGGGAAGGCGGGUGAAAACAAUUUUUUGUUAUAUUUCGACUUUUAGAUCAAAACCAGUGUUUAACUGUUUGAAAUAAAUAAAAUAUUAAUGCAAAAGAUAUCUAAUGCAGACACAUUGACUAUUUCCUAGAUUUACGGAAAAAUAUUUAUCUUAUUUUUCGUAUAUAAAUUUGAAAAAAAUAGUUAGACCUAAAAUUACGUACUCUCUAAUGUUGUACGCAGCAAAAGAACCGUACAUAUUCAUAGGAGACUGAAGAAGAACGGGUACGCCAGAAAGAAAAAAAAAAAAAAAGUCAUGUCUCGCAGCGGGCGAAACCGUGAAAUUUCAUAACAGAUGACCUCAUUACAUUAGGGGAUAUAUAUAUAUAUAUAUAUAUAUAUAUAUAUAUAUAUAUAUAUAUAUAUAUAUAUAUAUAUAUAUAUAUAUAUAUAUAUAUAUAUAUAUAUAUAUAUAUAUAUAAAAACAUUACAUAUAUAAAAAAUGGGACAAGAUACAGAUAUGAGACUGUGAUCGGAGGAGCCCAACGGAGAAGAAAGGGUGACAGCAUAAGCAGAAGGAUUAGAGGUCAGGAAAAGGUCAAGAAUGUUGGGCCUAUCUUCAAGACGUCAGGAAUACGAGUAAGGUGUUGCACCAAUUGCUUUAGGUCGUGGAGAAUAGCAAAGUCUAAGGCUAGUUUACCAGGAUGGUCAGUGACGGGAGAGGAAAGCCAAAGUUGGUGGUGAACAUUGAAGUCAGUCUCCAAGAAUUAAGAUCUCUGCAAAAGGGAAGAGAGUCAAUGUGCUCCACUUUGGAAGUUAAGUAGUCAAAGAAUUUUUCAUAGUCAGAAGAGUUAUUUGAGAGGUAUACAGCACAGAUAAAUUUAGUUUGAGUGUGACUCUGUUGUCGUACCCAGGUGGUGGAAAACUCAGAAGAUUCAAGAGAGUGGAAAGCAGGUUAAGUCAUUGCGCACAUGAACACAGCAUCCAGCUUUGGAUCGAAAAUGAGGAUAGAGAAAGUGGGAGGAAACAGAAAAGGGGCUACUAUCAGUUGCCUCAGACAUCUGAGUUUUAGUGACGAAAGGAUGAUGAAGCUUAAUAGAGGAGAGGCAGUGUUCUACAGAUUGAACGCGAAUGUUGCAGAAGUUUAUGAAGAAAAACUGAGAGGGGUAUCAAGACAUUUAGGGUCGUUACCAGAAGAGCAGUCUGACCCGGGGACAAUUGUGGUCCGCUCACCAGAUGGGGUCUCCGAGGCUGGUGUAGGAGUAUGUGUGUAAUAAUUAGGUGCUGGUAGUUGUUUUGUGUGCAGGAAGAGAGAUAUCUCCAUGACUAUAACGUUUGGUACGAUUGAAAACAUCCUUUGAUUUCCACAGAUAUGUACACACACUAGUAACAGUUUUCAACUGUAGCACCAGAAACAGUCUUCCUCACACGAACCGUUUCACUGCCGGGACUUGAAGGCUGAUGAAGCAGUGCGGCGGAGGUCACGCCUCUCAGAGUGUUUAUACUUGUUGUCAACACCGCCAUAACUAAUACAAACUCUUUAGUGCAGGUAGUUAAAUAACUGCAAUCAUUGUUCCAGAUUCCUAAAUUCACAAAGUGCAUAACUCAUUCCAAGUUUUUAUUGCAGAUAAUUAAAGUUUUAGUGAAAUAAUUAUUCCUAUUCCUAAUGUUGUGUGGUGCAUUAUCUCAGACAGGCCCACUGGAAGCUGUCAGAGUGCUGUGGCACGUGGCAAGAACCAAGUGUUCAGGAGCACACACUGUCCCUUCACCAGUCAGCAGAUCUGGGCGGCUUGGGAGCCUCACUACAAACUGAAGACCCGUUCACUUGAAGGAUAGUUGGAGUCGGACACAAGAUCCAAGAGGGAGUUAUUUUUAAACGAGAGCUUCAGGCAGAAAAUUCGAGUGGAUUUUCAACUCUAAAAAUAACUUUUUUGGGGGGAUAUUUUGAACCUUCUUUAUCUUGAAAAAUAACUCCAGAUAUUAUGACUCUAGCUGGAAGUUGACCUGAGCAAUGUAGGGUUUGCUGCAGUGAGAUUACCAAGGCACGAGUGUCUGGGAUUUAAAGAUGAUGGAUAUGUGUCCUGUGUGCUGCUGUGCUGGGAGGAGAGGAGCAGCAGCAGUCGUGGGGCUCUGUUGCUGCUGUCACUGGUGCAGCUGUUCACUCCUGCAGCUACCUUCCCUCAACAUACUGUGUCUUCCCUCACCUGCAAUGAACAACUAUGAACAAUACUUCUCCUGCGAUGAGGAACAGUGAAUAACCUCUCUCUCUCUCUCUCUCUCUCUCUCUCUCUCUCUCUCUCUCUCUCUCUCUCUCUCUCUCUCUCUCUCUCUCUCUCUCUCCACAGUAUGUCCCCCACAGUAUGUUUACAAACCCACAGUGACUCUCCACAGCCCCUCACCAACAAUUGUCUCCUUCACACACACACACACAAAUGUUAGAAUCUUGUAGUGUCUACAACAAGGAAUGGAACCGAAAUCGACAAGCCAAAUUUUCUUCCAGCCUGCGUGAGUGUAGUGAGGCUCAAUGUGUGUGUACAAGUGAAGAAUAUAUAUUAAAUGCUUGACUCAAAAAUAUGAGGCUUACACAAAAAUACAGGACACAACUUGAGUGUGGUGAGUCAAAGGUGAGUCAAAAUGUUCAACUUUGAAUUAACUUACAACAAAAACUAACUAAAUAAAACACACUAUAAAGAAAUAAUCUCAUCAAUUAACACUGAAAAAAAAAAAUAUAUACACCAACACAAAAUAAAUAAAUCAAUCAAUAAAUGAAGACUAAAUAAAGCAAAUUAAUCUGAACGCUAGUCGUAUAUUUUUAAACACUACGGUGAAGAAAGAUAAUGAAGCUUAAAUAAACAUUGAGAGAGAAAGAGAAAUUUGUGGUCUUCCUAAAUCUCUCUCUCUCUCUCUCUCUCUCUCUCUCUCUCUCUCUCUCUCUCUCUCUCUC